rnacentral:rRNA from 1 species
UACGUAGGUGGCAAGCGUUGUCCGGAAUUAUUGGGCGUAAAGCGCGCGCAGGCGGUCCUUUAAGUCUGAUGUGAAAGCCCACGGCUCAACCGUGGAGGGUCAUUGGAAACUGGGGGGACUUGAGUACAGAAGAGGAAAGCGGAAUUCCACGUGUAGCGGUGAAAUGCGUAGAGAUGUGGAGGAACACCAGUGGCGAAGGCGGCUUUCUGGUCUGUAACUGACGCUGAGGCGCGAAAGCG